GCUCCACCCCCAGCGGGAGGGAGCAUGGGAGCGAACAAGUGCAGGAACCAGCUGACCUCUUCCGUGCUGGCAGGAGCGAAGUCCACUGGCGGGAGCAAACUCUGUGCAGGCCCCUUUGACCCCAAGGCCGUGACCAUGAAGUUUGGGGAGAUUAUCUUCAAGGACAUGCCCUGAAUAGGAUCAGUUACUCAAAAAGUAUGACGGAAUACAUGUGCAGAGAUAUCCUUCCAGGAAUAAGAAAAAUAAUAUGAAGUAAAUAUUUAAUUUUUUUUUUCUGGAACAUUGCUGAACUGGAAGUAAAGAACUGGAACUAGAGGAAACAAACAAUGAGAAAGUAUAAUUCCAUGAGGAUUAGCUGAAUCCUAGAGCUUGCCUGAUCCUUCGGAAUAUCUGCCAAUUGUUAUAGCCUGAAGUCUGGAUGUUAAUUGGCAUAUGCUUUAAAAACAGAAGUGAAAACCAGGUGCCAGAGUAGAAAAGUCCUCUACAGCCAUUUCCUGUGAACCAAGAUAGUAAAUUUGAUCCGCCUCCAAAGAUGAGGAGGAGGAAGUUGUGACUGCCAAUAAAAAGAAGCUUGAUUGUGGCCUUUCUGUAAGUAGAGGUGUACCCACACUGGUUGAAAAUAUCUUCAAAAUGAACACAAAUAAAUAUCCCUAAAACUCUUCUGGAUUCAGCUUGUGGGAAAGAGCAUUAUGAAGAAACCCUUGCUGUCCUGGCCUGCAGGUGGGGUCCUCCUGGAUUUCCAGAGUUGCUAUGUGUUUUAUUUUUAAAAUUUAUACUGUCAUUUCAAUGGGACCUGGGAAGAUGGAGAGGAAAUGUGGAUAUAGUCCACUUUGUUGAAGAAAUCUUUUAUGUUUGUACUCAAAUCAGUUAUCUCCCAAAAUGAGUUUUUUCUUUGAUACUUACUUCUGUUUUUCUUUGGAUAAUAUUUGGUAUUUUAUAUCCAAUUCUUCAAUUAGCUUGAUUUUUUCCCCAAAUAUGUAACCUAUUAUCCUAGGAACAUUUACAAAAUUACUAAUCAUUUCCUCUCUUUUUUCCUUUAAGAAAACUCAUAUAUGCACAUUUAUAUAAAAACAGGUCUAAAAUAUAAUGAUUAAAAAAUAAGUUGAGAUAAAUUAUGUUUGAAAAGAGGGGAGAUAUAUAGGUCACUAUAUGUUAUGCAUUAUAUAUACUUGUGUAUAAAUAGAAACAUUAUGGGAGGCUGGAAAUCAAACUGUUAAUUUCUUUUGGAGAGUAGAAAUGGGAGAAAGUCAGAGGUGAGAGAUUCAUAAUUUCAAGAGCAGAGAUAGUGUGGACCAAGACCAACAAUAGCCAACAGGUGUUUGGCAGAAAAAAAAGGGCUGGGGCCAGCUGACUCUAGAGUUUGCUGAAAAAUACAAUCACUAGUGCACAUGUUCAUAAAUUGAACAUUCAAAAAAUAGCUAACAUGUAUCGAAAUCUUACUAUAUGCCAGGUACUGUUCUCAUAGCUUUAUAUGUACUGAUUCAUUUACUCCUCAUAAAAAAUUUAUGCAGAUGAGUACACUCAUCGCAAUUGUAAAGACAGGGAAACUGGAGCACAAAGUGGUCAGAUAAAUUUUUCUGUAUACGCCAUGGAUGGCACAGCCAGAAUCUGACCCCAGUUGAAGUGGUAUUAGAGCCCUCCUUAAUUGCUGUUUUCUAUUGCACAGACUUAACUAUCACCUCCUGAAACUUUUCUCACACCCUUCUUUCAGUCUCCAGUGCUCCCAAAAGCAGAACCUUCAUUCCAACAAUAGAAAUGAAAAGCUUCACUUUGAAGAAAUGAAAUAUACUUUAAAGAUAAAUACCACGUUAUUUAAACAUUCAUCUAAAAGUAUAGCCUGGAAAUGAAGAGUCAACAAAUAUUUGAGAAAAAUCUAGGGCAAAGAAAACAUAAGUUCAAACAAAGAGAUUUAACUCCCAAGAAAACAGAGUUAACACAGAAAGUAGAAUGAAAUAUCAAAACAAGUCUACUUCCUAUUUUCAGAGAUAUAGGGGUUGUGUUCACACAUACUAUAUACAGAUUGGAGUUCUUGAUUAAAACAUGGUUACUGAAAUUAAAAAUGGAUUAUCUAACAGAAUGAACAUAAAAGAUCAAGUUAGUGAAUUGCAAGACUAAGGAAUUCUCUCAAGAUAUCAUGCGAAGGCAAGAUCAUAAAAGUACAAGAACAAAUGUUGGAAUAGAAUCAGAAAUUCUGUAAUAGACAGAAUAAUGAUCCCACAGCAAUGUGCCACAUCCUGCAUCCUAAUCCCUAGAACCUGUGAAUAUGUUACCUUACACAACAAAAGUGACUUUGCAGCUGUGAGUAAAUUUGGGAUCUUGAUAUGGGGAGAUUAUCCUGGAUUACUUACCUAGGCCCAGUGUAAGGGCUUACAUAGGUAGGGUCCCCUGUGUAGGGUCCUUUUAUGUGAAAGAGCAAGGAGGAUCAUAGGCUUAAAACAGAUUUAUUAUCUUAAAGUUCUGUAGUUCAGAAAUCUGAAAUGGGGUUCACUGGGAUAAAAUCAAGGAGUUGGCAGGGCUGCAUUCCUUUCUGGAGGAUUCUCUAGGGAAGGAUCCAUUUCCUUGCCCCUUCCAGCUUGUAGAGGCUACCCCCGUUCCUUGGCUCUUGCUGUCCAUCUUCAAAGCUGGCAACAGUGAGCAGGGUUCUCACAUCACAUUGUUGACCUCUUCUUUUGACUCCUUCUUCCCAAGAGUCCAUCCCAAGAGUCCAGAACAAUCUCCCUAUUUUAAGGUCAGCUGAUUAGCCACCUUAAUUUCAUCUACUAUCUUGAAUUCCCCUUUGCCACAUGAUGUAACAUAUUCAUAGGUUCUGGGAAUGGGCACAUGGACAUCUUUAGAGGACUGAUAUUCUGCCUGCUAAUCUCACCCCUACUCCUAAUUUUAGAUGCCUCCCGUCUUUACAAUGUAGAUCAUUUCACGCAUGCCCAUUGUCUACCUUUAAACUUUCCCAUUCCAAUAUAGUCUUGGAAGAUGGGGUUUGGUGGGAGGCAGAGGGUUGUUUUUUAGUGUACAAAGACAAAAAUAUACUGGGUGUCCUGUCCAGUGCACCCUUCAGGGAUUUUCAGCCUUUUGUGAUCUUUGAAAUACUUUGCAAUUUUUUAAGUUGUAGAAAACUAGAAAACUGAUAAUAAUGCAAAUGACUUUGUUUAUAGAAAUGCAAGUAUUGUCUAGGGGAAUACAAUUGAUUAUUACCCUAUUGAUAUUGACCUGUUUUGCCAGUUUGUAUUUAUUUUUGCCAGUUUGUAUUCAUUUUCAUAUUAUUCAUUUCAUUUUGCCAGUUUGUAUUCAUUAUAGUCUUAGCAUGUCUAUAUAUUUGUUUUCUCUUCGAAUAUUCCUUUGAAAUGAGUUGUAACAUUUUAUCGAUUCCUUCAUUAAUGAGUUAAAUAAAAUUUUGGUCACCAUUAAUAAUUAAACUCCUUUAAAAAUUUUUCCUUUAACAGUAAAACUUUUAUUAUAAAUGUAUAUUUAGUCAUUGAAAAAAUUCUUAAAUUCAGAUGUCCAUGGAAAUGUAGUUAAUUAUUUGUUAAAAUUUCUCUGAUCACCUUUGCCAGAGAUCCCACCUACUCACUGUGGAUGGAGUGGUGAGCAAUCUAAUGUUAACCCAAUCCAGAUGAAAAUUUAGUCUUACCCAAUGAUGUAAACUCAGGUUUAACCCAGUCUUUUCCACUCAAUCUCUCAGUUUCCCUCCUACUUAUUUCCACUUCUCUUAAUGUUUAUAGAGAACAGGGUAGGACUAUAAUGGCCUAAUUACUUCCUCGCUGGAUUCUCAGUGGCUCUGCAGACCACUCUCUUUAUUCCAUCUUGACAUGGCCUCCAGCUAGAAGUCUAUGCUAAAACUUCAUUUCUCUCCAGCAGUCUUUAUGAGGGGCCCAAUGCUUCUCAACUCAGUGUGGGGUGCCACACAUACACCCAGAAAUGGUUGGGAGAGCCAACUAGACCCUCUUUUGCCAGAUCACAUAGUUUGUCUGACAGGAAGAGUGUGGGGUUAAAAUGCGUAAAAUAUACUUAAGUAUAUUUUUAAAUUUUAUCAAAACUAGCGAUGUUUAAAAGUUGCAAUUGAAAAAAGUAAAAAUAUCUGGAGCUUUACACUCAUAGACAGUGGAUUCCUCUAGACAGUGGAUUUAUGGUUUUUAAAGUUCAUUUUUCUUUUUUAUAUUUUCUGAUUUUUAAUAAAGAAUAUAUAAAACUUUUUGCUUAGGAUUGUUCUGGCUAUUGGGGCUUUUUUUGGUUCCAUAUGAAUUUUACAGUAGUUUUUUUCUAAUUCUGUACAAAAAUGAUGCUAGUAAUUUGAUUGGAAGACUGUUAAAUCUAUAGAUAGCUUUGGGCAUUAUGACCAUUUUUAAUGGUAUAAAUUCUUCCAAUCCAUGAGCAGAAAAUGUUUUUCUAUUUGUUUGUGUCAUCUAUGAUUUCUUUUAGCAGUGU